ACCAGCCCCUUUUUAUUCCACUUGAGCAUCUCUAAUUUUCAUUCCUGCGAUUAUUUUAGCUGUCAUACUUAUUAUAUAAGUUUUUUAGUGUUUUUUUUUUUUUCUUUUACAAGGACAGGCAGGCCUGCAGUUAUGUUCCCUCAUUGUUAUUGAUUUUGUUUGAGAAAUCUUCAUUUUGUAGUUUUUCUGUAACUGCUGGUGUAGUCCUUCAGACCUGCACUUUGUUGGCUUGAGUCCAAGAGGGACUUGCCAUCUCAAAAAAACAAAAAAAAACAAAAAAAAAAAGUUCUGUUUAAAUGGUAUUAGCAGGUGAGCUAGUCCGACCGGCGCUGUUGGUGUGCAGUGCCGCUUGGAUGAUCAGAAGCGUUGGGCUCCUUUCCCCUCCGCAGGCUCCCUGGACCGUGUGUGUCAGCAAUGAGAGGGCACUUCAGAUGUGCUUUAGGGUGAACUUACCCCCAGGAGUGUGCUUUGACUCACUCCUGUGCUGUUGGUCUCUGUUCCCUGUUGCCUGUUCCCUGUUUCCUGUUUCCUGUCCCUGACUCGGUGUAGAACACGCUGGAGCGGCUUUCUGAUUCUCCUGCUCAUUAAGCUCCUCCCCUAAGAGCAGCAGGCCCCGCCCCCUGCCAUUAGCCACGCCUCUGUGUCUGAGCUGAUGCCAGUGGCUUAUCUCUGGCUCAGGAGCAGGUGAAAGGCAGAGGCCAGCAGGGGGCGCUGUUGGUCCUGUAGACGGCUGAGCUGGUGGUGGGAACAGGAGCAGGUGAAAGGCAGAGGCCAGCAGGGGCGCUGUUGGUCCUGUAGACGGCUGAGCUGGUGGUGGGAACAGGAGCAGGUGAAAGGCAGAGGCCAGCAGGGGGCGCUGUUGGUCCUGUAGACGGCUGAGCUGGGGGUGGAAACAGGAGCAGGAGUGCUGUGAUGGCUCCAGGCCUUCCCUCCAGUGGCCAGAGCCGCAAACUCUCAUGAGCAAAAUACACAAGCCAUUAUUUUCUUUGUUCAAGAAGUUGUUACUUGGCGUAAGGCUAUCGCUUUCAUCGGACAGCAGGUUGUUCAUCCUGAUUUUGGGUGCUGGCAGUGCUUGUGAAGUGCAUGCUGGGAUUGAUUCCUGUUCCCUGGCUCUCGGCAGCAUACCCAUGAUGCAGUGCGGUGCGUUGUGCUCGAGGUGCAGAGAGGUGCAGAGACUGGCGUGUUUCAGAGCCUGAGGAUCAGGGCUGACUGAGCGAGGCACGCAGGGCCAGCGCGUGGCCCAGCCUGUAAUGAGCCACACCGCAAGUCCAGCUUACAGAGCGGUGUGACUGCAUCAGAGCGCAGGUGUGACUGCAUCAGAGCGCAGGUGUAACUGCGUCAGAGCGCAGGUGUGACUGCGUCAGAGCGCAGGUGUGACUGCAUCAGAGCGCAGGUGUAACUGCAUCAGAGCGCAGGUGUGACUGCAUCAGAGCGCAGGUGUGACUGCAUCAGAGCGCAGGUGUAAUUAUCCUGACUUAAUGAGCAGGGAGGUCUCCAGCCUUAACGGAACACAGAACCGUGUGUUUAACAGUGCUACAGCCGCUGGCCGAAACCAAGACCGAUUCAAACCCGUUACACAUUCACUGUGCCUGUCCAACCUUAUUAAAAUCAACAUACACAACGGUCAUGUUUUAAAUUCAAAUAUAAUAAUGGCAUUCAUGACUUUGUCCCAAAAGUAUAUCAUUCGGUUAUUUUUGGACAUGUACAAGAGUUAGAUUUUAUUCCAAAAUCCCUUUUCAAAUUUAUCUCUCUUCAAAUUUAUCUCUUUUCAAAUUUAUCUCUUUUCAAAUUUAUCUCUUGACAAAUGUUUGCCACUGUCACUUCAGUAAAGCGCACUGGCCAAUAUAAAUUAAAAUAAAUUGCAAAAGAAUUGGAAGACUGACUGCCAAAGGCGGUCAAAAUAGCAAAUGAUUUUAAUUGAAGUGGAGGAUUAAUGUUGAAUAAAAUGUGUCCCCUGACGCUAACGUGGGCUCUGCUCUGCACUGGGGGCUUCGGCUCCCCGGUGCAGCAGCUUGAAGAAGCUGCUUUGAGGCUUUCGAUGAAAAUGUGAGUGCUCGGUUUUGAAUAAAUAAAUGAUUUGCUGUUCAGGCCUCAGAGUCGGAUCCCAGGCACUUUAUCCGUGUGAAAUCUGCCGCUCUGUAAAAUGGAGGCUUCAUUAUGCGUUCAGCAUGGAGCCACUUUCAGCUGUUCCCUUUCCUCUCUGUUCCGCGAUAAGAUUCACCUCAUAAAUCUGUAAAUAAAUUAGCUUAUGAAUGUGUAAUGGGACUGGGAAAAUAACCAAGAAAAUCUGCCCAUGAAAUGUAAUGUUUUUAUUGUUUGGGAAUGUUUAUCCUCGAGCGACCCCAGAGCCUUGCUCCCGCUGAGGACCCGGACCUGGCGGGGUUAACCUCGUUUCACUCAACCAAUCAUAAGGAGACUGGCCCGUCCAUUUUGGGGGAAUGAACCUUAACUUUCCAGUCACAACUUGGAUCUGCCCCAAACCACAAAUAUUUUGUCAGAAACACUGUUGCAUCAUUUGCCUUUACCCAAAAAGUACUUUUACAUUACAUUACAUUACAUUAUUACUAUAUUAUAUAUAUAUAUAUAUAUAUAUGUAUAUGCACACAAUAAUUCAGGUGGCAUUCCCCGAGCCAUGCCAGUCAACAGUAACUUCAUUUAAACCGUGUGUGUGAUCACUCUGUCAUUCACCAGUUCUGGAGCGCUUCUGGAGCGGUAGAUGGCGGGUUGAGGAUUAGUGCGGUGUGGUUAGUGGACGCGUGUGAGGGGUCCUCGGUCCGUGAGCGUGUGCGGAGAUCAGCUCCUGUCUGCCGCAUCUGUUGGGCUGAAACGGCUUUGUUCAGCUGAAACGGCUUUGUUCAGCUGAAACGGCUUUGUUCAGCUGAAACGGCUUUGUUCAGCUGAAACGGCUUUGUUCAGCUGAAACGGCUUUGUUCAGCUGAAACGGCUUUGUUCAGCUGAAACGGCUUUGUUCAGCUGAAACGGCUUUGUUCAGCUGAAACGGCUUUGUUCAGCUGAAACGGCUUUGUUCAGCUGAAACGGCUUUGUUCAGCUGAAACGGCUUUGUUCAGCUGAAACGGCUUUGUUCAGCUGAAACGGCUUUAUUCAGCCCUCGCUCAUUUGAACACAGGCCCAGCUCUCAGAGCUGUGAUUUAUUAAAUCAUUCGGCUAAAUGCUCCGUCGCUCCGUCGCUGGUCCUGAGAAAAAGGUUUUGUUUCAGAUAUGAGCCCUUGAGCUAGAAAUGGCCGUUUGUUAUUUCCAUCUGGAGAAACUCCCCAAACAUUUCACUCACUGUUGGUAACCGUUCUGAAGCCUAAGAUAUCGAAGAUGAGGAACUAACGGGAGCUGGUGUUUAAAAACUGUGCUGUAUUUAUAUAUAUUUUUAUUUUUGAACAGAAGAAUGUUGUUACAGAGGUAUAUCUUCUAAAGCAUGAUCCAUUGAAACGAUGGACUAACCUGACCUCACUUUCUCCUUGUAUAGUUUGGCCAUUUUCUGUUGUUUUUCUUAAUGUAUCUGGAUGCUCUCCUUUCACCAAUUACCCCUGCAGACCACCCUCUACCUGCCCCUCUACUGCCCCUCUCCUGCCCCUCUCCUGCCCCUCUCCUGCCCCUCUACUGCCCCUCUACUGCCCCUGCUACCUGCCCCUGCUACCUGCCCCUCUACCUGCCGCUCUACUGUCCCUCUCCUGCUCCCUGCCCCUGCUCCCUGCCCCUCUACCUGUCCCUCUACCUGUCCCUCUACCUGUCCCUCUACCUGUCCCUGCUCCCUGCCCCUCUACCUGUCCCUCUACCUGUCCCUCUACCUGUCCCUCUACCUGUCCCUCUACCUGUCCCUCUCCUGUCCCUGCUCCCUGCCCCUCUACCUGCCCCUGCUCCCUGCCCCUCUACCUGCCCCUGCUCCCUGCCCCUCUCCACUCUGAUCCUUUGCGUUCCUGUCCCUGUUUGUGUCCUGCUGAAUUCCAAACUCCACACCGCUGGUCCACUCCAUGUUUCCCUCGGGUCAGGGUGGGGUCAGGGGCAGGGCGUUGUCAUGGGUGGGGCGUUGUCAGGGGCGGGGCGGUUGUAAAUUUGUAUAUUUGAAAAUACUGUCAGUUUGCUGGAAGGCAUGGAGAUUAAAAUGACAAAAAUAAAACGUUUAAAAAUGUUUUGAUAGAGGAAAUCCUGAGAAACUAUUUCUGUGUAAAAUAACUAUUUAAGACUGUAUUAUAUGAAUGGAGAAAGGAGUAAAUAUAUUUGUUGUGAAUAUGAGAUACUGCUAUAUUAAAGACAUGCAUGAGACAUUGUCAA